UACGGAGGGUGCGAGCGUUGUCCGGAAUCACUGGGCGUAAAGGGCGCGUAGGCGGCCUGCUAAGUGUGCGGUGAAAGCCUGGGGCUCAACCCCAGGUCUGCCGUGCAAACUGGUGGGCUUGAGCACUGUAGAGGAUGGCGGAAUUCCCGGUGUAGCAGUGAAAUGCGUAGAGAUCGGGAGGAACAUCUGUGGCGAAGGCGGCCAUCUGGACCAGCACUGACACUGAGGCACGAAAGCGUGGGGAGCAAACAGG
rnacentral:rRNA from 1 species